UGCCUUCUGAUAGAUUAUAGAAGGUAACUCCUGCCCAGUGACUAAGUUCAACGGCCGCGGUAUCCUAACCGUGCAAAGGUAGCAUAAUCAUUUGCCUAUUAAUUGUAGGCUAGAAUGAAAGGAUUAACGAAAUAAGAACUGUCUCUACUAAUUUAUAAAAAAUUAUACUUUAGGUGAAGAUACCUAAAUAAAUUCGAAGGACAAGAAGACCCUAUAGAGCUUUAUUUUCAUAGAAAAUGAACUAUUUCUACAAAAAUUCGGUUGGGGCGACCAAGGGAAAUAGUAAUCACCCUUUUGUAAAAGAUUUAUUAAUCAUUUAUAAGACCCUUUAUAAGAGCGCAAAAACAAGCUACCUUAGGGAUAACAGGCUAAUCUCGUUAGAGAGUCCUUAUCUAUAACGAGGGUUGGCACCUCGAUGUUGGCUUAGGGUAUCAAUGCGGCGCAAAAGUCGCAGAAAGACGGUUUGUUCAACCAAUAAUUCCCU
rnacentral:rRNA from 1 species